GCCCGGGUGGCGAAACUGGUAGACGCAAGGGACUUAAAAUCCCUCGGUGGCAACACCAUGCGGGUUCGAUCCCCGCCCCGGGCACCA
rnacentral:tRNA from 2 species